UACGGAGGAUGCGAGCGUUAUCCGGAUUUAUUGGGUUUAAAGGGAGCGCAGACGGUAUGUUAAGUCAGCUGUGAAAGUUUGGGGCUCAACCUUAAAAUUGCAGUUGAAACUGGCGUACUUGAGUGCGGUUGAGGUAUGCGGAAUUCGUGGUGUAGCGGUGAAAUGCUUAGAUAUCACGAAGAACUCCGAUUGCGAAGGCAGCAUACUAAUCCGUAACUGACGUUCAUGCUCGAAAGUGUGGGUAUCAAACAGG
rnacentral:rRNA from 1 species